UACGGAGGGGGCUAGCGUUGUUCGGAAUUACUGGGCGUAAAGCGCGCGUAGGCGGACCUGCAAGUCGGGGGUGAAAGCCCGGGGCUCAACCUCGGAACUGCCUUCGAUACUGCGGGUCUCGAGUCCGGGAGAGGUGAGUGGAAUUCCUAGUGUAGAGGUGAAAUGCGUAGAUAUCGGAAGGAACAUCAGUGGCGAAGGCGACUUCCUGGACCAAUACUGACGCUCAGGUGCGAAAGCGUGGGGAGCAAACAGG
rnacentral:rRNA from 1 species